rnacentral:misc_RNA from 1 species
GUGACGACAGAGCUAAGUUGUACCCAAACAUGGCCAGAGGAAUCGGGAACAAUAAACCUGUGAGUAAGUUAGGAUGCGAAUCAGAUAUCUCCAAGCCCUACUAUGGAACCAAAUAUAAUCAGGUUGUAUAUCUGCGUGAAAAUUGUGCAAGACCCAAAAGCAAAACGGCUAUACGUAAUAAUCUGUCUAGCAGAGAUUCAUCUGUUAUUAAGAAGGUAUGGGAACCAAUGGAAUUGCGAAAGAAAUAU